UCAGAAAGAGAUCGCCAGAAAGUCAGAAAGGUCAAUGCCAUGACAACUAAGAUGUUCGGAGCCAGCUGCAGGCUGAAGUAACACGUGAUUAUUCGAUUAGAGUCCCCAGAGAGGCUGCCUGGACAGAAUACGAGCACACGGUGUCCUCAGCUGAAAUAAUCAACUCAGAAAGCAGCACUUCUGAAUGUUUUUCUGCUCUGACAGAGAUAACACUGCUUCCGUUGACUUAAUGCACAGCAUUUCUGCUGCUAGAGGCCUCUCAAUCAAAACAAUGAAAACAAAAGACUUCGUUUGAUGAUGUUAUGAAGUAGCGUGGGAUCAUGAGAGUCGUUGUCUUCAUUUUUUAACAGCCACCAUUGUGGUUGACAGUCUAUCAGACGUGCCUCAGGCAGAAAUGUUCACAGUCGAGCUUCUCCGGCUGUGGCAGCGCUCUGCUGACAGGAGGCCUGAAACAGACAGCUGGGAUAAGAUGGCUGCCGCGGAGCUGCUCAUCAUGAUAAUGAUAACAAUAAUGUUGCUGCUGAAAAAUAUCCCA